CAUUAGAUGGCUGAAAGGAAGCAAUGGAAUUUUAAACCAUAUUAUAGUAAUUAGUGUCUACUUCUAAUG
rnacentral:tRNA from 1 species